GAUGAACGCUGGCGGCGUGCUUAACACAUGCAAGUCGAGCGAGUGAGUUCUUCGGAACGAUCUAGCGGCGGACGGGUGAGUAACACGUGGGCAACCUACCUCAUAGAGGGGAAUAGCCUCCCGAAAGGGAGAUUAAUACCGCAUAAAAUUAUCGAGUGGCAUCACAUGAUAAUCAAAGGAGCAAUCCGCUAUGAGAUGGGCCCGCGGCGCAUUAGCUAGUUGGUGAGGUAACGGCUCACCAAGGCGACGAUGCGUAGCCGAGCUGAGAGGGUGAUGGGCCACAUUGGGACUGAGACACGGCCCAGACUCCUACGGGAGGCAGCAGUGGGGAAUAUUGCACAAUGGGGGAAACCCUGAUGCAGCAACGCCGCGUGAGUGAUGAAGGUCUUCGGAUUGUAAAGCUCUGUCUUUGGGGACGAUAAUGACGGUACCCAAGGAGGAAGCCACGGCUAACUACGUGCCGGCAGCCGCCGUAA
rnacentral:rRNA from 1 species